UGGGGAACUACUCUAUGAAAUCAUUGUUUGGAAGUUAGUGGCUUAUCUGCUCUCAAAUUUCUUCUUUACUUUUCCUCUAUUUUCUCUCUCUGUUUACCUAGAAGUCAAAGGAUCUCUUCCAGCCAGACAUUUUGGGGCUUGUCUCUCAGGUGAAGGACCCAAGGGUUCAGGUGACUGAUAGAAGCUCCAUUUUAUGUAUUUCCUGCUGAUGGCCCAGCUGAGACCAUACAUCGAGGCCUUAAGGAUAACAGAACCACAAAAUGAAAAGGGAUAUGUAUUCCUGGUUGAUGAGCCACUGGACAAUCCACCAUGCUUUUCUCGAACUUGUACAUAAGAAGGAGAAAGAAAUUGUCUCAUUUUUCCCUUACGUUGCUGCAGUUGGAAUCUCUUUGUUACAGUAGAUUGGUCUCUCCUACUAAUACUUGAGGGAAGUGUAUAUAAAAAUGUGUUUUCUGUCUCUAAGAUUUACUGGUGAUGUGACCUAGGAUAACUGACAUAAUUUCUUGGCUUAUAUUUACUAUAAACAGAGACAGUUGAUAACUUAAAAAUUGUAUAGAUAUAACAUAGGUUACUCACUAAACUGCUUAACUUAGAGUAAGAGAGAAUUAAAUCAUAGCAGCUAUUGCUGUGUUUUUUAUGUCUACUUCUUUUCUUUCUUCUUAAAGAAAACAUAGAGUGCUAAUAUUAAUCAUAAAGUUACCAAUUUCUUUGAUCAUUAUAUGCUUAUCAUUUAUUUUUAAGUCAAGAUUUGCCAAAGAAAUAGUGUAUUCAGGUUAAAAAAAAAGUGAAUAUGAUACAGAAAGUUCAUUUUCCUGCUGAAUUCAGCAUUCUCAUUAUUAUAUUUUACACUGGAGAUGAGAUUUUAUUAAAAAAUUAAAGCUCAAGAAUACCAUAGAUAGUAUAUUUAAAAUAUAUUUCUCCUUAACUAAUGUGAAAUACUAGAAAAAUGAACAUAACGAACAAGUAGCUUGUCUUUGCAGACUAAUGAAGGUAAAAUUCAGUAUUAUCCUUAUCACAAUAAUUAUACUUAAUUUUCACAUAGAAAAUAUGAAUUGCAUUGGGAAUCAUUUUAAUGAAUAUAUGCAAUGAAAAAUGGGUGUGAUAAUUAACUUUUCUGAGUUGAACUUGGUACAUUUUAUAUGGUUUUCAAGUCACUAAUAGUAACUUUUUUAUCGUAAAUAAAAUGGACAUAUUUCAUUCAAAUUUAUUUGAAAUAUAAAUUUAUUGAAACAAUGAAAAGGCAUUAAUAAGAUCUUUCCCCCUUUUUUUUCUUUUUCAUACUAACAUAGAGCCUCAUUUUUUUUUCUUUUUUCCCUUGGAAGAGAAAAAUUUGUUUUCUUCUGACUAAAGGAGCACCGUGUUAAAGGAUGUAUCAAAUAUUACAGAUAUUUCUAUGACAUUCUCUAAUGUGGAUAGAAAAAAAUUGGAAAUUUAAAGGUUUCACUUUACAAACUGUUUAAACACAGUAUCUUUAUAAUGAAUGGGACUAAUUUUCUUGACCAUUAACCAUAAUACACAGAAGACUGUGAAUGAGGCAGGAAAUGGCUUGGUUUUUAUUUAGCUUAGUUUGCACCAUGAUUAAAGCAUUGAUGGGAAGUCUGAAGAAGCAGCACCUGGGGCUUAAUUUGGGCCCCAAAGAGAAGGAGGAACACAACUCUCUCCCCAACCCCAGACUCCUCUAGGGGGAGGUGGACUUGUGGUCACACAGAAAUGGAAUGGAAAACAAAGGAAUAUCCCCCUGACUUUGAAGGAAAACUUUCUUUCUUAAGUAGUGAAAAGGCAACUUCUUCAUGAUACGAAGAGGAGCAUUCUCUCUUGGUUAUUCUCUCGGUAAUCUUUACAUCAUUAAGUCGGUAAAAAAAUUCAAAUCCUGUCCCCC